rnacentral:rRNA from 1 species
UGGGAACGUACCCUUUGGUUCGGAACAACCCAGGGAAACUUGGGCUAAUACCGGAUAAGUCCGUAAGGAGAAAGAUUUAUCGCCAAAGGAUCGGCCCGCGUCUGAUUAGCUAGUUGGUAGGGUAAUGGCUACCAAGGCUACGAUCAGUAGCUGGUCUGAGAGGAUGAUCAGCCACAUUGGGACUGAGACACGGCCCAAACUCCUACGGGAGGCAG